rnacentral:rRNA from 1 species
GGAUCAUUACCGAGUGAGGGCCCUCUGGGUCCAACCUCCCACCCGUGUCUAUCGUACCUUGUUGCUUCGGCGGGCCCGCCGUUUCGACGGCCGCCGGGGAGGCCUUGCGCCCCCGGGCCCGCGCCCGCCGAAGACCCCAACAUGAACGCUGUUCUGAAAGUAUGCAGUCUGAGUUGAUUAUCGUAAUCAGUUAAAACUUUCAACAACGGAUCUCUUGGUUCCGGCAUCGAUGAAGAACGCAGCGAAAUGCGAUAAGUAAUGUGAAUUGCAGAAUUCAGUGAAUCAUCGAGUCUUUGAACGCACAUUGCGCCCCCUGGUAUUCCGGGGGGCAUGCCUGUCCGAGCGUCAUUGCUGCCCUCAAGCACGGCUUGUGUGUUGGGCCCCCGUCCCCCUCUCCCGGGGGACGGGCCCGAAAGGCAGCGGCGGCACCGCGUCCGGUCCUCGAGCGUAUGGGGCUUUGUCACCUGCUCUGUAGGCCCGGCCGGCGCCAGCCGACACCCAACUUUAUUUUUCUAAGGUUGACCUCGGAUCAGGUAGGGAUACCCGCUGAACUUAAGCAUAUCAAUAAGCGGAGGA